rnacentral:rRNA from 1 species
ACGGGAGGCAGCAGUGGGGAAUAUUGGGCAAUGGGCGAAAGCCUGACCCAGCAACGCCGCGUGAAGGAAGAGGGUCUUCGGAUUGUAAACUUCUUUUAUGAGGGACGAAGGACGUGACGGUACCUCAUGAAUAAGCCACGGCUAACUACGUGUCAGCAGCCGCGGUAAUACGUAGGUGGCAAGCGUUAUCCGGAUUUACUGGGUGUAAAGGGUGCGUAGGCGGCCCCUUAAGUCGGCGGUGAAAUUUCCGGGCUCAACCCGGUCACUGCCGUCGAAACUGGGGGGCUUGAGUGCGUGUGGGGUGGCUGGAAUGUGCGGUGUAGCGGUGAAAUGCAUAGAUAUCGCACAGAACGCCGAUCGCGGAGGCAGGUCACCAAGCCGCAACUGACGCUGAGGCACGAAAGCGCGGGGAUCGAACAGGAUUAGAUACCCUGGUA